GGGGUUGUGGCUCAGAGGUAGAGCGCUUGCCUAGCAUACGUGGGCACUGGGUUUGAUCCUCAGCACCCCA
rnacentral:tRNA from 1 species